UACGUAGGGGGCAAGCGUUGUCCGGAAUUACUGGGCGUAAAGGGCGCGUAGGCGGCCUGUUAAGUCGAACGUGAAAUCCCCGGGCUCAACCCGAGAACUGCGUCCGAUACUGGCAGGCUUGAAUCCGGGAGAGGGAUGCGGAAUUCCAGGUGUAGCGGUGAAAUGCGUAGAUAUCUGGAGGAACACCGGUGGCGAAGGCGACAUCCUGGACUGUCAUUGACGCUGAGGCGCGAAAGCCAGGGGAGCAAACGGG
rnacentral:rRNA from 1 species